AUUGAACGCUGGCGGCAGGCCUAACACAUGCAAGUCGAACGGUAACAGGAAACAGCUUGCUGUUUCGCUGACGAGUGGCGGACGGGUGAGUAAUGUCUGGGAAAUUGCCUGAUGGAGGGGGAUAACUACUGGAAACGGUAGCUAAUACCGCAUAACGUCGCAAGACCAAAGAGGGGGACCUUCGGGCCUCUUGCCAUCGGCUGUGCCCAGAUGGGAUUAGCUAGUAGGUGGGGUAACGGCUCACCUAGGCGACGAUCCCUAGCUGGUCUGAGAGGAUGACCAGCCACACUGGAACUGAGACACGGUCCAGACUCCUACGGGAGGCAGCAGUGGGGAAUAUUGCACAAUGGGCGCAAGCCUGAUGCAGCCAUGCCGCGUGUAUGAAGAAGGCCUUCGGGUUGUAAAGUACUUUCAGCGGGGAGGAAGAGAGGAAAAUUAAUACCUGUACUCAUUGACGUUACCCGCAGAAGAAGCACCGGCUAACUCCGUG
rnacentral:rRNA from 1 species